CGUUUACACUGGAUGCGUCGCGACGCGUUGCGAAGUGCGCUCGAGAUCGCUCUCCAUUGUUUCAAGUGACGCCGUUCACACUGAAAGCGCGGCACCUAACGACGACGCGCGGUGCCGCUGCUGAUUCUCUCGCUGAGCGUUUUUCGGCGCGACUGACCUUCGAAUUCCACGUGCUUUUUUGCGGCGGUGUCGGCUGCUUCCCGUGGGAAGUGGUUUUACAUUCUGCUUAGAUCAGAAGGUACCGCAUUUUAUAACUGCAAUAUCAAAUUAGGUACCGUUUAUCGUAAUUUAUAAGUUAAAUAUCCAAAUUAGGUACCGUUAUCUAGGUCAGAAUAAAAUUGAUUGCAAGUACUAGUGAAGGAUUGUAGUCUUUACUAUUUGCUAUACCGGUACCGGUAUGAAUUCUAACAACAAUUGUAUUUUGAAUUCAUUACAAACUUUGUUUCACAGUCAUGUCGUUUGAAGAGCUUUUAAUAAAUGAGGUGAAAUCUAGACCAUGUCUGUAUGACAUGAGUCCUCAUUAUCGUGAUGUUAAUAUCAAAUCCAACAAUUGGGCGGAGAUAGGAGCAUUGCUGGAUUUAUCUUGAUGGCAAAAUCACGUUGUCUAAAAUAUUUUCAAGUACACCAAAUUGAAAAUAAAAGCUUGCUUUGCUCAACUAACACCACAAUCUGAUAUAGCUAUUUAGGACAGCAGGCAAGAGAAGUCAAGAUGAAAAAUAAAAAUGAAAGUACCAUGGAGUCAGGGGCACCCCGAGGCGUUUCAACGAAUAAAUGGCAUCUAUUUGAACACAUGACUUUUUUAGAUUCCUUCGUGCAGCAUCGAAAAACGUCCUCAAAUUUAGAACUUGUCACUCUAUCAGCUGUGGUAGAAGGGGAAGAAGUGUCUGGGUCAUCUUCUGUCGCACCGACACCAAAAAAAGGAAGGAAGAAGUGAACAUGCGGAUUUUGAAAAUUCUUGAGGAGGAGAAGGAUGAUGAUCCAGACAAAUUCUUCCUUCUUUCACUUCUACCACAGCUGAAAAGACUGUCUCCUGAGCGUGCUUCAUCAACAAAGAUGAAAAUCAUGCAAUUACUCCAUGAGGCUGAAUUUGAGAAAUGAUUCAAAUUCAAU